rnacentral:rRNA from 1 species
UUGAACGCUGGCGGCAGGCCUAACACAUGCAAGUCGAACGGUAACAGGAAACAGCUUGCUGUUUCGCUGACGAGUGGCGGACGGGUGAGUAAUGUCUGGGAAACUGCCUGAUGGAGGGGGAUAACUACUGGAAACGGUAGCUAAUACCGCAUAAUGUCGCAAGACCAAAGAGGGGGACCUUCGGGCCUCUUGCCAUCGGAUGUGCCCAGAUGGGAUUAGCUAGUAGGUGGGGUAACGGCUCACCUAGGCGACGAUCCCUAGCUGGUCUGAGAGGAUGACCAGCCACACUGGAACUGAGACACGGUCCAGACUCCUACGGGAGGCAGCAGUGGGGAAUAUUGCACAAUGGGCGCAAGCCUGAUGCAGCCAUGCCGCGUGUAUGAAGAAGGCCUUCGGGUUGUAAAGUACUUUCAGCGGGGAGGAAGGGAGUAAAGUUAAUACCUUUGCUCAUUGACGUUACCCGCAGAAGAAGCACCGGCUAACUCCGUGCCAGCAGCCGCGGUAAUACGGAGGGUGCAAGCGUUAAUCGGAAUUACUGGGCGUAAAGCGCACGCAGGCGGUUUGUUAAGUCAGAUGUGAAAUCCCCGGGCUCAACCUGGGAACUGCAUCUGAUACUGGCAAGCUUGAGUCUCGUAGAGGGGGGUAGAAUUCCAGGUGUAGCGGUGAAAUGCGUAGAGAUCUGGAGGAAUACCGGUGGCGAAGGCGGCCCCCUGGACGAAGACUGACGCUCAGGUGCGAAAGCGUGGGGAGCAAACAGGAUUAGAUACCCUGGUAGUCCACGCCGUAAACGAUGGAUACUAGGUGUGGGAGGUAUUGACCCCUUCCGUGCCGCAGUUAACACAAUAAGUAAUCCACCUGGGGAGUACGACCGCAAGGUUGAAACUCAAAGGAAUUGACGGGGGCCCGCACAAGCGGUGGAGCAUGUGGUUUAAUUCGAUGCAACGCGAAGAACCUUACCUGGUCUUGACAUCCACAGAACUUUCCAGAGAUGGAUUGGUGCCUUCGGGAACUGUGAGACAGGUGCUGCAUGGCUGUCGUCAGCUCGUGUUGUGAAAUGUUGGGUUAAGUCCCGCAACGAGCGCAACCCUUAUCCUUUGUUGCCAGCGGUCCGGCCGGGAACUCAAAGGAGACUGCCAGUGAUAAACUGGAGGAAGGUGGGGAUGACGUCAAGUCAUCAUGGCCCUUACGACCAGGGCUACACACGUGCUACAAUGGCGCAUACAAAGAGAAGCGACCUCGCGAGAGCAAGCGGACCUCAUAAAGUGCGUCGUAGUCCGGAUUGGAGUCUGCAACUCGACUCCAUGAAGUCGGAAUCGCUAGUAAUCGUGGAUCAGAAUGCCACGGUGAAUACGUUCCCGGGCCUUGUACACACCGCCCGUCACACCAUGGGAGUGGGUUGCAAAAGAAGUAGGUAGCUUAACCUUCGGGAGGGCGCUUACCACUUUGUGAUUCAUGACUGGGGUG